rnacentral:rRNA from 1 species
UACAGAGGUCCCAAGCGUUGUUCGGAUUCAUUGGGCGUAAAGGGUGCGUAGGUGGCGUCGUAAGUCAGGUGUGAAAUCUCGGGGCUUAACUCCGAAACUGCAUUCGAUACUGCGGUGCUUGAGGACUGGGGAGGAGACUGGAAUUUACGGUGUAGCAGUGAAAUGCGUAGAGAUCAUGAGGAAGACCAGUGGCGAAGGCGGGUCUCUGGACAGUUCCUGACACUGAGGCACGAAGGCCAGGGGAGCAAACGGG